GCUUGACUGCGAGACAGACACGUCGAGCAGGUACGAAAGUAGGUCUUAGUGAUCCGGUGGUUCUGUAUGGAAGGGCCAUCGCUCAACGGAUAAAAGGUACUCCGGGGAUAACAGGCUGAUACCGCCCAAGAGUUCAUAUCGACGGCGGUGUUUGGCACCUCGAUGUCGGCUCAUCACAUCCUGGGGCUGAAGCCGGUCCCAAGGGUAUGGCUGUUCGCCAUUUAAAGUGGUACGCGAGCUGGGUUUAGAACGUCGUGAGACAGUUCGGUCCCUAUCUGCCGUGGACGUUUGAGAUUUGAGAGGGGCUGCUCCUAGUACGAGAGGACCGGAGUGGACGAACCUCUGGUGUUCCGGUUGUCACGCCAGUGGCAUUGCCGGGUAGCUAUGUUCGGAAAAGAUAACCGCUGAAAGCAUCUAAGCGGGAAACUUGCCUCAAGAUGAGAUCUCACUGGGAACUUGAUUCCCCUGAAGGGCCGUCGAAGACUACGACGUUGAUAGGCUGGGUGUGUA
rnacentral:rRNA from 1 species